AAUUAAAAAAAAAAUACCAUAAAUUUUUCAAAUUGUAUAAAUAAAGACAUUUUGAAAACUGAAAAAUUAAAAAUAACUUUAAGACAAAAUAAAUUUAAAAAAAAAAACUAAUUUAAUAAAACAUUGAUUAUUAAAGAUAAGGAAGGAAUUUUAAUACGAAACAUUGAUUAUUAAAAGACUAUUUUAGAAUUUUACUAAUUUACAUAGUAAAACCAUUAGGUGGUAAAUUGGUAAUAAAAGGGAAAAAAUUUCAAUAGGAAAAAAGAUCCGACCUGCCGGAUUCGAACAAGCGACCUAAGGAUGUCUGAUAAUCACCAACUACAGUCCUUCGCUCUACCAACUGAGCUAAGGUCGGUUCUUGUUUGAAGCUAGAGCUCGGAAGAAUAAUCCCCAACCCAGAAUAACCCUAAUCCUUAUCGAUCCGAACAAGCUAGCUUUGGGGGCAAAGGUAGUACCGACUAUUUGGUGAGUGGUUCUGUUCUGAUCACAAGAAUGUCCAGGAGCUUAUUGAUCGAUGAAUUGAAGGGCAUAUGUCCAAGUUCAUAUCGUACUAUAUAUGGUGGAGCUACAUGACUUUUAAUGAAGGUAUGAGAGAAUUCAUUUCAAUAAUUUCCUGCAUUUGUUUUAGCUGUCAAGUCACACAUUUCUGGCAUAAAUUUCAAGAAAUCAGGUAUUUUAUUUAUUUGAUUUUAAAAUAUUUUAAUCGUAGUGUGGGGUUUGGCUAUGUUUGGUAUAAUUACCAAGUCGUAUUAAGUCUAUCUAUACAUUUUGUUCUGUAGACCUUGUACACCUUAUUGGGACAGUUGGUCCCGUGUUUGAACAAUUGUAGCCAGGCCUACUGGUUCUGUUUUAGUGGCGAAGUUUGUGUACUGUAGGCCCAUCUUUGUAUGUAAUGUCUUAUCGAUGUUAAUGAAAAA